UACGAAGGGGGCUAGCGUUGCUCGGAAUCACUGGGCGUAAAGGGUGCGUAGGCGGGUCUUUAAGUCAGGGGUGAAAUCCUGGAGCUCAACUCCAGAACUGCCUUCGAUACUGGCGACCUUGAGUCCGGGAGAGGUGAGUGGAACUCCGAGUGUAGAGGUGAAAUUCGUAGAUAUUCGGAAGAACACCAGUGGCGAAGGCGGCUCACUGGCCCGGUACUGACGCUGAGGUGCGAAAGCGUGGGGAGCGAACAGG
rnacentral:rRNA from 1 species